CCUACGGGAGGCAGCAGUGGGGAAUAUUGGACAAUGGGGGCAACCCUGAUCCAGCCAUGCCGCGUGUGUGAAGAAGGCCCUCGGGUUGUAAAGCACUUUCAGUGAGGAAGAACGCCUGGUGGUUAAUACCCAUCAGGAAAGACAUCACUCACAGAAGAAGCACCGGCUAACUCCGUGCCAGCAGCCGCGGUAAUACGGAGGGUGCGAGCGUUAAUCGGAAUUACUGGGCGUAAAGCGCGCGUAGGUGGCUUGAUAAGCCGGUUGUGAAAGCCCCGGGCUCAACCUGGGAACGGCAUCCGGAACUGUCAUGCUAGAGUGCAGGAGAGGAAGGUAGAAUUCCCGGUGUAGCGGUGAAAUGCGUAGAGAUCGGGAGGAAUACCAGUGGCGAAGGCGGCCUUCUGGACUGACACUGACACUGAGGUGCGAAAGCGUGGGUAGCAAACAGGAUUAGAUACCCUUGUAGUC
rnacentral:rRNA from 1 species